GACGAACGCUGGCGGCGUGCUUAACACAUGCAAGUCGAACGGAAAGGCCCUGCUUUUGUGUGGUGCUCGAGUGGCGAACGGGUGAGUAACACGUGAGUAACCUGCCCUUGACUUUGGGAUAACUUCAGGAAACUGGGGCUAAUACCGGAUAGGAGCUCCUGCUGCAUGGUGGGGGUUGGAAAGUUUCGGCGGUUGGGGAUGGACUCGCGGCUUAUCAGCUUGUGGGUGGGGUAGUGGCUUACCAAGGCUUUGACGGGUAGCCGGCCUGAGAGGGUGACCGGCCACAUUGGGACUGAGAUACGGCCCAGACUCCUACGGGAGGCAGCAGUGGGGAAUAUUGCACAAUGGGCGGAAGCCUGAUGCAGAAACGCCGCGUGCGGGAUGACGGCCUUCGGGUUGUAAACCGCUUUCGCCUGUGACGAAGCGUGAGUGACGGUAAUGGGUAAAGAAGCACCGGCUAACUACGUG
rnacentral:rRNA from 1 species